CUUAGGACUGGUUGUGACGGCGGUGCCGGGGCGGCGGGGAGCGGGUCCAUCUCUAACCCGACACAGCCCCGCACUGAAGCCGGCUUUCGGUAACGCCUCCAUCCCUCGUUAACGACACGAAGGCAGCGUCCCGGCGGGAAGGGAGCCGCGCUGACAGUAUUUACGGGCUUUAAUUAAAAAUAGCCCCGAGCCUGCCGCCGGUGAAGCCCUCGGCGGGCGCCGAGGUGAAUCCGCGCUGAAGUCACCCCGUUCCUGACACGGUUGUUCCCAGUUUUCCUCGUUUGCCCGUUUCGAUCCGCUCCACGGGGGUGCGGAGUCGCUGCAGCGAGGCGGCGGGGUGAGGAGGACCCAGAGGAAAAUUAUUUCCACGGCAGGCAAAGCUGCGAGGGGCGCUCGGGGGAAGCCUUCCCUCGCUCGUUAGCAGCCGCCUCCCGCGUGGGGCUGAGCGCGGGGAUCUCGGCAGACCGGAGUCUCCCCGGGGUUCUCCCAGCCUUGUUCCCGCCAUCUGCCGCUCAGCGUUUCCCUCCAGCAGAAUAAAACCAGGGUAGGCUGCCCGCUGGGCUGGCUGGCGUGGCAUUGCGCCUCAGUGAGAGCAGCUCAGAGCCCGGAGCAGAGGGGUCCCAGCGAGUUGUCGCCUUCUGUUUGAAAA